rnacentral:misc_RNA from 1 species
GCCGGGGCUUACCAUGAAAACCAUGCAGCAGGCCUACACACUCGCCCGUCCGCUGACCCUUGACACCCCACCGUCGCUUUCAGCAUCGUCCCGUGGCGGCGAGGGAAUAUCAAGGUUGGCGGCCGAAAACCCAGCGUUGGUGGUGGGGCGGAAGGGCUGCUGCAUGAUCCACGUCGCCAGAAGGUUGCUUCAAGUGCUGGGAGUCAAUCCGGUGGUGUGCGAGGUAGGUGAGGGUGAUGUGGAGGCGGCCUCAGUGGUGAAGGAGAUAGAGGCAGAGAUGGCCGGUGGCCAAAAGAGGGAAAUGGUGUUUCCGACGGUGUUUAUUGGGGGGAGACUUGUCGGCGGGCUCGACAGGCUCAUGGCUGUUCAUAUCUCCGGCGAACUGGUCCCCAUGCUCAAAGAAGCUGGCGCUCUCGGGCUGUGAACAAGAUUUUGCAGUAGUGCGGCAAAAUUUCGGAUUGACUAUGCUCUAUUGUGUCUAGGAGCGAGCGUCAAUCUAAUAGAUGUAUCCGAUAGGACCAAACCA